ACUUUUCACCCACACUACUUUCAUGGUCUCUUUUUCACCCUUAACUUGCAGAGGAAUCAGUUUUUAAAAGUUUUGCCAACUAAACAGUGUUACUAAGAAACCCUAAACCCUCUGAACCGUGGCCAGCCCUGUAGGUAAAACCCUCCUCACGGUUCCUUCUCUGACAAGACCAGACAGGCCACGGCCCAGCCCCUCCCUUCCGCUGCCUGCUAGCUCGGUCCCCUCCUAUCCACCUGAAGUGCCAGAUGUCCACAAGCCCUUCAACGUGCAGUGCUUCUGUGAAAAGAAGGGAAGAAAGGAGCCCAGGAUGCUGUGGACUUAUCUCCUUCCUGUCGCCCCUUCCUGCUCCCCUCUCUUCCGGUCAGGGGGAAUCCGCAGGCCGGCGCAGCCUGGGCCCUGAACUGCAGCCAGGCGAACCCCUGCGCUGCUGCUCCGCUCCAGCUGGAAGGAAUUUGUUCUGCUGAUAAAAGAGAUGUGAAGAUACAGAAGCCACAGACACCCAGAGAGAAGAGUGACAAAGGCUGUACGCGUGUAGUUCACCAUAUGCAAAUUGAAGUCAAAAAUUUCUGUGGGAUUCGAAAGAUGUGGAGGAGAAAUUUGUCACAAUAUAAUGAUGCCCACUUUUCCACAACUAUCAUAAAACAGUGACUUACGAAGUCCGUUGAAUCUAUCAGGUGACUGUCUAAGGGUAACUGACUCAUACCUUGGCGUGUACACCUUUCGGAGUGUGAGCUAUACUCACUGGUGACAAGGAGCAAACUGAUAUUACAAUAAAAUUGUACCGACUUUAAAGUAGUAUCUUUUGUUGGAAUCGCUAAAUGAU
rnacentral:lncRNA from 1 species